rnacentral:rRNA from 1 species
AUUGAACGCUGGCGGCAUGCCUUACACAUGCAAGUCGAACGGCAGCACGGGAGCAAUCCUGGUGGCGAGUGGCGAACGGGUGAGUAAAGUAUCGGAACGUGCCCAGUCGUGGGGGAUAACGUAGCGAAAGUUACGCUAAUACCGCAUACGACCUAUGGAUGAAAGCGGGGGAUCGCAAGACCUCGCGCGAUUGGAGCGGCCGAUAUCAGAUUAGGUAGUUGGUGGGGUAAAGGCUCACCAAGCCGACGAUAUGUAGCUGGUCUGAGAGGACGACCAGCCACACUGGGACUGAGACACGGCCCAGACUCCUACGGGAGGCAGCAGUGGGGAAUUUUGGACAAUGGGCGAAAGCCUGAUCCAGCCAUGCCGCGUGCAGGGUGAAGGCCUUCGGGUUGUAAACUGCUUUUGUACGGAACGAAAAGGUUUGGCCUAAUAAGCUGAGCUCAUGACGGUACCGUAAGAAUAAGCACCGGCUAACUACGUGCCAGCCGCCGCGGUAA